AACGCAUAUUGCGCCCUUUGGUAUUCCGAAGGGCAUGCCUGUUCGAGCGUCAUUAUCAACCCUCAAGCCUGGCUUGUCAUUGAACCUCUUGUCGUUGAAAGGACGGGUUCGAAAGAUAAUGACGGUGUCGCGAUCGACCCUAGAUGCAACGAGCUUCACAGCACGCAUGUUAGUGGCCGGCCGGCCCCGGUCUUAACCUUAAUUCAAUGGUUGACCUCGGAUCAGGUAGGAUUACCCGCUGAACUUAA
rnacentral:misc_RNA from 1 species